AGGUCAGCCUAUAUGAGAAGAGGAGGAAGGAAAAGGUUGCCAUCGACUGACGAGAUACUAUCAUCAGCUUCUUGGCUGGACCUGGACUGAUAUGCAUUGCCUAAAGCCAACUGAAGGGAUAAGGAAAAGUCCUAGCCAGAGGAAAGGACUCAGCGGUGGCAGCAUGCUUGCCUUCUGAUAUGUGGAAGAUCUUUGGUGGACCAAGAACAGAUUUAUUGUGGACACAGUAAGAAGGACAACUAAUAAAGGUUAGAGGCCACAACAUAAAGUUUCUACUCAUGAAAAAAACGGGCUCCUUCUAAGUCGCUGGAAGUAUUCGGGCAGUGGGUGGAUACUUGAAAGCCCCUCAUUGGAACAGUGGCUUAAUUUGUUCACCUCUGAGUCCCUGAGCACUUACAAGUCUAUGUAUUUCCUUGACCUUGGCCUAUGAGUUCUGUUACUCUUGUGAUUUAACACGUGGAACAUUAUGUGGAAAACUAUAUAGGAUUUUUAAAUCAUCGCCAAUUAGGAAUAUGAGGAUGCUUGCAGUGAUGAAGAGUGAAUGCUGGUUAUUUCUCUGAGGUCUGUAAGGGCUUUGGAUAGAGAAUCCUAAGAGAAGGCAUGUGUGUGUACAUUCACAAAUUAGUGUGUGGUUCCUGAUUGUGUAUAUAUGUGUAUAUAAAUAUGUAAAUACAUAGUAUGGAUACUGUUAUGGCUCAGACCUAGAUAUUCCCCCAUUGAUUUUAUUUUAUUUUUGUCUUUUUGAGACAGGGUCUCACUAUGCAAUUCAGGUUGACCUUGUGCUCA